rnacentral:lncRNA from 1 species
CUGAGCUCCACGCCGGCUCUGCUCAGGAACGUGCGCUGGAAACCACUGGGCUUGCAGCCGGUGCCCACCAGCCCCACCAGCACCUCCCCGACGCCCGGCGGCACUUUGGGCAUGUCCAAAAUGGACGCUCCCAGCAUGCAGGACGUUUAUAUCCUCUCCCCUGUCUCUGGACUCUACAGCACCAGGGAGGAGCUGGGUCUGAUGUCCUGCGACGACAUCAGCCGCUACAGCGUGAGCUCCCAG